GGUCACGGCCAGGCCACCUUGAACAAGCCCAAUGUCUGAUCUCAGAAGCUAAGCAGGGUCGGGCCUGGUUAGUACUUGGAUGGGAGACCACCUAGGAAGACCAGGUGCUGUAGGCU
rnacentral:rRNA from 1 species